GACCCCAGCAAGUUUCAGGACAGCUGGAGACUAUCUGAUGGGUUUGUAGCUGCAGAAGCCAAAGUCAUAUUGCCUCACAGAGCACGAUCCAGACCAGACCUCAUGGACAACUACCUGGCACUACUGCUGUCUGCCUUUAUCAAUAGUGGACUGCUGGAGGGUCUGGUGGAGGUAGUGACCAGCAGUGAUGGACAGAUAUCAGUGAGGGCCACUAUACUGCUUGGAGAACUUCUGCACAUGG